rnacentral:rRNA from 1 species
CAGCAGCCACGGGAAUACGUAGGUGGCAAGCGUUGUCCGGAAUUAUUGGGCGUAAAGCGCGCGCAGGCGGAUAGGUCAGUCUGUCUUAAAAGUUCGGGGCUUAACCCCGUGAUGGGAUGGAAACUGCCAAUCUAGAGUAUCGGAGAGGAAAGUGGAAUUCCUAGUGUAGCGGUGAAAUGCGUAGAUAUUAGGAAGAACACCAGUGGCGAAGGCGACUUUCUGGACGAAAACUGACGCUGAGGCGCGAAAGCCAGGGGAGCGAACGGGACUAGAUACCCCAGUAGUCCCUGUCUCUUAUACA